UGGUUCCUUCUCUUCGACUACGCGCCAUAGUGGUGAACGGAUAGCGAUCUCCGAAAUGGCGUCGCAUAAGACCUUCAGAUUCAAAACGCUUCCUCGCCAAGAAGCAGAAGCAGAACAGGCCGAUCCCACAGUGGAUUAGGAUGAAAACUGGCAACAAGAUCAG